GAUGAAGAACGCAGCGAAAUGCGAUAAGUAAUGUGAAUUGCAGAAUUCAGUGAAUCAUCGAAUCUUUGAACGCACAUUGCGCCCUCUGGUAUUCCGGGGGCAUGCCUGUUCGAGCGUCAUUACAACCCUCAAGCUUUGCUUGGUAUUGGACAUUGCCAGUUUCUGGCAGGUCUUAAAAUCAGUGGCGGUGCCAUUUGGCUUCAAGCGUAGUAAUUCUUCUCGCUUUGGAGAUCCAAGUGGUUACUUGCCAAUAACCCCCAAUUUUUUCAGGUUGACCUCGGAUCAGGUAGGGAUACCCGCUGAACUUAAGCAUAUCAAUAAGCGGAGGA
rnacentral:misc_RNA from 1 species